UGCAGUCGAGCGGAACGAUGAUAGCUUGCUAUCGGGCGUCGAGCGGCGGACGGGUGAGUAACGCGUAGAUAUCUACCUAGUAGUGGGGAACAACCUGUGGAAACGCAGGCUAAUACCGCAUACGUCCUACGGGAGAAAGGGGGCCAAUUCUUGAAAGCUCUCGCUAUUAGAUGAGUCUGCGUCGGAUUAGCUUGUUGGUGAGGUAAUGGCUCACCAAGGCGACGAUCCGUAGCUGGUCUGAGAGGAUGAUCAACCACACUGGAACUGAGACACGGUCCAGACUCCUACGGGAGGCAGCAGUGGGGAAUAUUGCACAAUGGGCGAAAGCCUGAUGCAGCCAUGCCGCGUGUGUGAAGAAGGCCUUAGGGUUGUAAAGCACUUUCAGUUGUGAGGAAAGGGUAUUGGCUAAUAGCCACUAUCUGUGACGUUAACAACAGAAGAAGCACCGGCUAACUUCGUGCCAGCAGCCGCGGUAAUACGAGGGGUGCGAGCGUUAAUCGGAAUUACUGGGCGUAAAGCGUACGUAGGCGGUUUGUUAAGCAAGAUGUGAAAGCCCAGGGCUCAACCUUGGAACUGCAUUUUGAACUGGUAAACUAGAGUACUGUAGAGGGUGGUGGAAUUUCCAGUGUAGCGGUGAAAUGCGUAGAGAUUG
rnacentral:rRNA from 1 species